rnacentral:rRNA from 1 species
GACGAACGCUGGCGGCGUGCCUAAUACAUGCAAGUAGAACGCUGAAGGAGGAGCUUGCUUCUCUGGAUGAGUUGCGAACGGGUGAGUAACGCGUAGGUAACCUGCCUGGUAGCGGGGGAUAACUAUUGGAAACGAUAGCUAAUACCGCAUAAUAGUAGAUGUUGCAUGACAUUUGCUUAAAAGGUGCAAUUGCAUCACUACCAGAUGGACCUGCGUUGUAUUAGCUAGUUGGUGGGGUAACGGCUCACCAAGGCGACGAUACAUAGCCGACCUGAGAGGGUGAUCGGCCACACUGGGACUGAGACACGGCCCAGACUCCUACGGGAGGCAGCAGUAGGGAAUCUUCGGCAAUGGACGGAAGUCUGACCGAGCAACGCCGCGUGAGUGAAGAAGGUUUUCGGAUCGUAAAGCUCUGUUGUAAGAGAAGAACGAGUGUGAGAGUGGAAAGUUCACACUGUGACGGUAUCUUACCAGAAAGGGACGGCUAACUACGCG